AGAGUUUGAUCAUGGCUCAGGACGAACGCUGGCGGCGUGCUUAACACAUGCAAGUCGAACGCGAAAGGCUCUUCGGAGCCGAGUAGAGUGGCGAACGGGUGAGUAACACGUGGGCAACCUGCCCCAAGGAGCGGGACAACCCGGGGAAACUCGGGCUAAUACCGCAUGAUUCGCCGGCACUCAAGUGCCGGCGGCAAAUGGUAGCUUCGGCCUCCGCCUUGGGAUGGGCCCGCGGCGCAUUAGCUUGUUGGUGAGGUAACGGCCCACCAAGGCGACGAUGCGUAGCUGGUCUGAGAGGACGAUCAGCCACACUGGGACUGAGACACGGCCCAGACUCCUACGGGAGGCAGCAGUGGGGAAUCUUGCGCAAUGGGCGGAAGCCUGACGCAGCAACGCCGCGUGUGGGAAGACGGCCUUCGGGUUGUAAACCACUUUCAGGGGGGACGAAGCUUCCGAGGUUAAUAGCCUACGGGGUGACGGUACCCCCAGAAGAAGCCCCGGCUAACUACGUGCCAGCAGCCGCGGUA
rnacentral:rRNA from 1 species